rnacentral:rRNA from 1 species
AACGAACGCUGGCGGCAUGCCUAACACAUGCAAGUCGAACGAGACCUUCGGGUCUAGUGGCGCACGGGUGCGUAACGCGUGGGAACCUGCCCUUAGGUUCGGAAUAACUCCCCGACAGGGGUGCUAAUACCGGAUAAUGUCUUCGGACCAAAGAUUUAUCGCCUUUGGAUGGGCCCGCGUUGGAUUAGCUAGUUGGUAGGGUAAAAGCCUACCAAGGCGACGAUCCAUAGCUGGUCUGAGAGGAUGAUCAGCCACACUGGGACUGAGACACGGCCCAGACUCCUACGGGAGGCAGCAGUGGGGAAUAGUGGACAAUGGGCGAAAGCCUGAUCCAGCAAUGCCGCGUGAGUGAUGAAGGCCUUAGGGUUGUAAAGCGCUUUUACCCGGGAUGAUAAUGACAGUACCGGGAGAAUAAGCUCCGGCUAACUCCGUG